GUUUGACCUCAAAUCAGGUAGGAAU
rnacentral:rRNA from 1 species